GACGAACGCUGGCGGCGUGCUUAACACAUGCAAGUCGAGCGGGAAACUUCGGUUUCCAGCGGCGGACGGGUGAGUAACACGUGGGCAACCUGCCUCACAAUGAGGGAUAGCCUUCCGAAAGGAAGAUUAAUACCUCAUAAUACAAAGAAAACGCAUGUUUUCUUUGCCAAAGAAUUUCGUUGUGAGAUGGGCCCGCGGCGCAUUAGCUUGUUGGUGAGGUAACAGCUCACCAAGGCUUCGAUGCGUAGCCGACCUGAGAGGGUGAUCGGCCACAUUGGAACUGAGACACGGUCCAGACUCCUACGGGAGGCAGCAGUGGGGAAUAUUGCACAAUGGAGGAAACUCUGAUGCAGCAACGCCGCGUGAGUGAUGAAGGUCUUCGGAUUGUAAAGCUCUGUCUUCUGGGACGAUAAUGACGGUACCAGAGGAGGAAGCCACGGCUAACUACGUGCCAGCAGCCGCGGUAAUACGUAGGUGGCAAGCGUUGUCCGGAUUUACUGGGCGUAAAGGAUGUGUAGGCGGAUAUUUAAGUGAGAUGUGAAAUCCCCGGGCUUAACUUGGGGGCUGCAUUUCAAACUGGAUGUCUAGAGUGCAGGAGAGGAAAGCAGAAUUCCUAGUGUAGCGGUGAAAUGCGUAGAGAUUAGGAAGAAUACCAGUGGCGAAGGCGGCUUUCUGGACUGUAACUGACGCUGAGGCAUG
rnacentral:rRNA from 1 species